rnacentral:ncRNA from 1 species
GGUAAAGGGCAAACCGGUUGAAAUGCCGGGACGCAAUACCUCCGGUCUUCCGAUCAGACGAUGAUCCAGAUAGCGGGGUUUC